rnacentral:rRNA from 1 species
CCCUUAGACGUUCUGGGCCGCACGCGCGCUACACUGACCAGUGCAACAAGCAUCCGUCCUUGGCCGACAGGCCCGGGCAAUCUUUGAACGCUGGUCGUGAUGGGGAUAGACUUUUGCAAUUUUUGGUCUUCAACGAGGAAUUCCUAGUAAACGCAAGUCAUCAACUUGCAUUGAUUACGUCCCUGCCCUUUGUACACACCGCCCGUCGACUCUACCGAUUGAAUGGUUCGGUGAAAACUUUGGACUGUGGCAUUGUCCUUCAUUGGACUUCGCCGUAGGAAAUUGUUUAAACCUCAUCAUUUAGAGGAAGAAUAAGUCGUAACA